UCCAAAUCGCUAGAAACACCACUCUCAUCAAAGACAAAGACAAAGACUAUGACAAUGAAACUAGAAAAGAAAAGUGAUUGUUAUCACACAACACAAAUUAAAGAGGAAUGAAUAGAAAUCAAAGUUUCGAUACUGAGGGAUUAAUUAGUUAAUUAGUUGCGCCUAAACUAGCUGUAACCUCUUCUUAAUUUGUUGGUUGUUCGUUCAGUUUGGUUGGCAUCCACGCAUUAUUAGACUUUUUUUUUUUCUCUUCUUUUUUUUCGGUGGCAUCCAUAUAUGCAUUAGACUCUUCUUAAUAAGCUGUAAUUUGGUCCACUUUCGCGGCUUCCAUGCAGCUGUCGUUAACUAAUCUUUUGUCCCAACAGAGUGCCCGAACCAAGAUGUUGAUGAUCUGCCUUAUAACUAAUCUUUGAUGUGAAACUUACCAAAUUAGAUGUUGAGUAAAAAUUGAAAUAUGAAAAGACUUUGAGGUAAGAUUUGAAUUGUUUUCUUAAAGUGUUAUUUGUC
rnacentral:lncRNA from 1 species